GCGCGAAAACUUUACAAUGCGGGAAACCGCGAUAAGGGGACACCGAGUGCCAGCAUCCUAUGUUGGCUGUCCACAUGUUUAAAUCACAUGUGUUAGCAAGGGCCGGGCAAGACCGGUGCCAGCCGCCGCGGUAACACCGGCGGCCCGAGUGGUGGCCACUAUUAUUGGGUCUAAAGGGUCCGUAGCCGGUUUGGUCAGUCUUCCGGGAAAUCUGACGGCUCAACCGUUAGGCUUUCGGGGGAUACUACCAGGCUUGGGACCGGGAGAGGUAAGAGGUACUACGGGGGUAGGAGUGAAAUCUUGUAAUCCCUGUGGGACCACCAGUGGCGAAGGCGUCUUACCAGAACGGGUCCGACGGUGAGGGACGAAAGCUGGGGGCACGAACC
rnacentral:rRNA from 1 species